GUCGCCUCCUAAAAGGUAACGGAGGCGCCCAAAGGUUCCCUCAGAAUGGUUGGAAAUCAUUCGCAGAGUGUAAAGGUAUAAGGGAGCUUGACUGCGAGAGCUACAACUCGAGCAGGGACGAAAGUCGGGCUUAGUGAUCCGGUGGUUCCGUAUGGAAGGGCCAUCGCUCAACGGAUAAAAGCUACCCUGGGGAUAACAGGCUUAUCUCCCCCAAGAGUUCACAUCGACGGGGAGGUUUGGCACCUCGAUGUCGGCUCGUCGCAUCCUGGGGCUGUAGUCGGUCCCAAGGGUUGGGCUGUUCGCCCAUUAAAGCGGCACGCGAGCUGGGUUCAGA
rnacentral:rRNA from 1 species